GACGUAGGGCGCGAGCGUUGUCCGGAUUUAUUGGGCGCAAAGAGCUCGUAGGCGGCUUGUUGCGUCGACCGUGAAAACCCGUGGCUUAACUGCGGGCUUGCGGUCGAUACGGGCGGGCUGGAGUUCGGUAGGGGAGACUGGAAUUCCUGGUGUAGCGGUGAAAUGCGCAGAUAUCAGGAGGAACACCGGUGGCGGAGGCGGGUCUCUGGGCCGAUACUGACGCUGAGGAGCGAAAGCGUGGGGAGCGAACAGG
rnacentral:rRNA from 1 species